rnacentral:rRNA from 1 species
UACGGAGGGGGCGAGCGUUAUUCGGAAUUAUUGGGCGUAAAGGGCAGGUAGGCGGCCUCAUGUGUCCUUUGUGAAAGCCCUCGGCUCAACCGAGGAACUGCAGGGGAAACUGUGGGGCUUGAGUCCGGGAGAGGGUAGCGGAAUUCCCAGUGUAGCGGUGAAAUGCGUAGAUAUUGGGAGGAACACCAGUGGCGAAGGCGGCUACCUGGACCGGAACUGACGCUAAGCUGCGAAAGCUAGGGGAGCAAACGGG